rnacentral:rRNA from 1 species
UACGGGGGGGGCAAGCGUUGUUCGGAAUUACUGGGCGUAAAGGGCUCGUAGGUGGCCAACUAAGUCAGACGUGAAAUCCCUCGGCUUAACCGGGGAACUGCGUCUGAUACUGGUUGGCUUGAGUGUGGGAGAGGGAUGCGGAAUUCCAGGUGUAGCGGUGAAAUGCGCAGAUAUCAGGAAGAACACCAAUGGCGAAAGCAGCUUUCUGGGACGGUACUGACGCUGAGACGCGAAAGCGUGGGGAGCGAACAGG